AGAUAUCAAAAAUUGCAGGCCUUAUAAUCCUAACCUGAAUAAAAAUCUAUGGGCAGGGAUGAGAUGCUCACAGUAUCUAAGGACCUGGACUUGCAGGAGCAACUCUUCUGACAUGCACCACUGUAAAAGGGAUUGAUCCUGCAAGGUGACAUCAGUGUGACUGAAGUGUAUGCAGCGCCAUGAGAAUUGGGAACAUCUUAGAGAUGUCCAGGGCAUCCAGCCAGGUGUGCUGUUGUGACCCUAUUAAACCACCUGAGAACAGCUCUGUGUUCACUACAAUACAAGAGACCCUUGAUGCAACAACUGAGGUGCACAUAGUUUUCUACUAUUAUUACAUAAGAGGCAAUGUAGUCCUGUGAUUAAAAGCAGGUGACUGGGAAGACUCUGACCCAUCAAUUUAUUUAUUGUAUGACAUUGCUAAGCAGCAAAUCACUUCUCUCCGCUGUACCUCCAUUUCUUUAUUUGUAAAAUGGGAAUAAUGAUGCUUACCCCAUCUUUGCAACCUUUUUUCAGAGUAUAUUUAAUCAUCCCAGCUAGGGAUUUCUAUUGUACCUAUCACUCUUGUAGGAAAGAUCCCAAUAUGUUAAUUAAAAAUAUUAUUUUUA